rnacentral:tRNA from 1 species
UGCCGCGUCCGGGGCGGUACCCGUCGGCCGCCUCGACGGCGGCGAGGAAGAUCUCGGUGGUGAGGUCGUCCACCGCGUGCGGGUCGCCGGUGCGGCGG